rnacentral:rRNA from 1 species
UACGUAGGGGGCAAGCGUUAUCCGGAUUUACUUGGUGUAAAGGGAGCGUAGACGGCCUUGCAAGUCUGGUGUGAAAGCCCGGGGCUCAACCCCGGGACUGCAUUGGAAACUGCAUGGCUGGAGUGCAGGAGAGGUAAGCGGAAUUCCUAGUGUAGCGGUGAAAUGCGUAGAUAUUAGGAGGAACACCAGUGGCGAAGGCGGCUUACUGGACUGUAACUGACGUUGAGGCUCGAAAGCGUGGGGAGCAAACAGG